rnacentral:lncRNA from 1 species
AUUUGGAAAUUUAUAUUUCUUCAUUAUUAUAAAGAUUAUUAAUAAUAUUAGAUUAUCAAAUGUUCCUAAAUUAAAAUUUUAUUUGUGUUAAGAAAAUGUCGAGACAACAACAAAACUAAGUUACGAUCAUCAUGGAUUUGUUAAGGGCGGUACAAGAUUUGGGUAGGCAACAAGCACAGGGUGGUCCCCAUGGUACAAACGCUAACAACACCAACUCAAUCGUGGAACAGUUCCGUUGCUACAAACCCCCAACCUUCGAUAACAAGACAGACCCACUAGCAGCUGAAGAAUGGAUAAGAGGAAUGUAGCGAAUCUUCAAACAUCUAUCUUGCACUGAUGCUCAAAAGUUGUUAUGUGCAAAAUUUAUGUUGGUUGACGCAGCAGGCCAUUGGUGGGAGUCAGCAUCUCGCACUAGAACAGAAGCACAAUAACAUGCUAUGACUUGAAUGCAAUUUAAGGAGGAAGUGAUAGAAAAAUACUUCCCACAAGCCUCGAGGGAUCGAAAGGAUACAAAGUUCCUUCAACUUAAGCAAGAAAAGAUGAAGCUUGAAGAAUAUGAAAGAAAAUUCGAGCAACUCUCAAGGUAUGCACCACACCUAGUAGAUAUUGAAGCAAAGAAAGCAAGGAAGGUCCAAUUGGGAUUGCAUCCUGAGAUUGGUGGAAUAAUGGUAUCCCACCAAUUCACCACCUAUAAUCGCGUUUUGCAAACUGAUCAAGCCACACACCCAUCUUAGAUCCUCUUAAAUCCCCGUAGGAAUUUCAUAUCUCUUUCUCUAGAACCCGAAGGUCCAUUAGUAAUUCAUGCAUAUUUAAUUGCAUAUAAAAUCAUAUAUAAAUGAAAAUAACUUGCACAUAUAUAUCUUACCUUGUUUAAAAAAUAUAAAAAUCUGAAUGUACGUUCAAAUUCUUUUCUUUGCUUUGGUGAAAGAUUAUCUACUGGUAGUAAUAUUUGAGGCAUAUAACUUCCUGAUUUCAAACGUUAUUCUCUCUCUCUCUCUCUGCCAUAUGAGGGUAUAAGAACUUGUGUGGCCCCCAGGGCAUAUCUCCCAGUGGCAAAGGGGAGGGCGGAUAGGGCUCAGCGCGGCAGUGUGCAGAGUUCGAUUCCCCGCAAGGUGGAAUUGGCUUUGUU